rnacentral:rRNA from 1 species
UACAGAGGCCUCGAGCGUUAGGCGGAAUCACUGGGCUUAAAGCGUGUGUAGGUGGAUGCCUAAGUACCUUGUGAAAUCCCACGGCUUAACCGUGGAACUGCUGGGUAUACUGGGCGUCUUGAGCCACUCAGGGGCUACCGGAACAAGCGGUGGAGCGGUGAAAUGCGUAGAUAUCGGAAGGAACAUCGGUGGCGAAGGCGACUUUCUGGACAGAUACUGACACUGAGGCACGAAAGCAUGGGGAGCAAACAGG